UGGGAGACUAGUCAGGAUCGAGGGAAAGAUGAACAGAGCAAAGUACAGAGAUCCUUAAUGAAAACCUGCUCCAGAGUGCUCAGGACCUCAGACUGGGGUGAAGGUUCACCUUCCAACAGGACGACGACGACCGUAAGCACACAGCCAAGACAACGCAGGACUGGCUUUGGGAUACGUCUCUGAAUGUCCUUGAGUGGCUCAGCCAGAGAGCCCGGACUUGAACCUGAUCAAACAUCUCUGGAGAGAUCUGAAAAUAGCUGUGCAGCAAUGCUCCCCAUCCAACCUGACAGAGCUUGAGAGGAUCUGCAGAGAAGAAUGGGAGAAACUCCCCAAAUACAGGUGUGCCAAGCCUGUAGCGUCAUACCCAAGAAGACUCGAGGCUGUAAUCGCUGCCAAAGGUGCUUCAACAAAGUACUGAGUAAAGUGUUUGAAUACUUAUGUGAUGUUUCAGUUUUUUUAUUUUUUAUAAAUUAGCAAAAAUUCUAAACCUGUUUUUGCUUUGUCAUUAUGGGGUAUUGUGUGUAGAUUGAUUAUGGGGAAAAAACAAUUGCAUCAAUUUUGGAAUAAGGCUGUCUAACCGAACAAAAUGUGGAAAAGGUCAAGGGGUCUGAAUAUUUUCCGAAGGCACUGUAAAAGCCUUGUUCUCAUUGGCAGUUUGAAGUGACUCAAAUCCUAUUUUUUUGCAUACCCGAUUCGAAUCAGUUUUUUCCCCUGCAGUCAGAACAUCUAAAAUGCACAUGGAAUCUGAUAUUUGAAGCCACAUUUCAAGCCACCUUCGUAGGUGGUCAAAUCUGAUUUAUUUGCCCUCAAGUGGUUUUUAGACUGUUAAUUGGCAUUGUGUCACCUUAGCUUGCUACAUAACUUCUGAGUGAUAGGAAGCACGUGCACCAAUCAGCCUACACCACUGUGGACACACCUGUCUUUACUAUGAGAACUAGCAUAGUCAUGUCAGCAAAUUACUGCCGUCUGAACACAUAUAAAUCCUAUUUGGUCACUUAUAACUUGCUAUUUGGACAGUCAGUAUUCCAAAACUGAUUUGAGCGUUAUAGGCCUGCAGUGUGAACAGGGCAUUAUACACCCAGGAUUUGGCUUCAGAUAUUUGAAUGGCUGUAAAAGUGUUAUAAAUUAUAAUUAUUCUGACAAAAGGUGUCAUUUGUAAUCUUGCUCAGGAGAAUAGGGAGUUUUUUUGUUGCCAUAAAUCAAACCAGCAGCACUUUGUACAUUUUCCAAGACAUUUUAAUACAAUCAUUUAAAAACAG
rnacentral:lncRNA from 1 species